GCUUAGUAUAGCUGACGUGCAAUAAUGCAGUCUCGUGCAGUAAAAGGCAAUAAUUACCGUAGGCAGUCGUAAACGGUAGUUCAAAAUACUUUACAAAACUGUCAGCGGAUUUCUGCAAUGCACCAUCUGCAGAGGAUAUUUUAGCUCCAUGGGACCAGCCAAGGGGUUAGAUGCUGCACACCAGCCCUUAGUGCUACUGAACAAUGAAAAACUAUAGCUCGCACAUUGCCCUCAAAUCUCCUGCUCCUUGUGUCUCUCAAGUUCCCCAGCUGUUCAUCAUCGAGUCUUCAGUGUUCCUUUGUUACCAAGUCACCUUUUGCACUUCUACACCAACAUCUUAAAGCACUUUGACCACAUACACAUGGCAC
rnacentral:lncRNA from 1 species